rnacentral:rRNA from 1 species
UGGGGAAUCUUGCGCAAUGGACGAAAGUCUGACGCAGCGACGCCGCGUGGGUGAUGAAGGCCUUCGGGUUGUAAAGCCCUGUGGGGAGGGACGAAUAAGUUCCGGUUAAUACCCGGAGCGAUGACGGUACCUCCUUAGCAAGCACCGGCUAACUCUGUGCCAGCAGCCGCGGUAAGACAGAGGGUGCAAACGUUGUUCGGAAUUACUGGGCGUAAAGCGCGUGUAGGCGGCUAUGCAAGUCGGAUGUGAAAGCCCUCGGCUCAACCGGGGAAGUGCACUCGAAACUGCAAAGCUAGAGUCUCGGAGAGGAUCGUGGAAUUCUCGGUGUAGAGGUGAAAUUCGUAGAUAUCGAGAGGAACACCGGUGGCGAAGGCGGCGAUCUGGACGAUGACUGACGCUGAGACGCGAAAGCGUGGGGAGCAAACAGGAUUAGAUACCCCCGUAGUCC